ACGUAGGGGGCGAGCGUUGUCCGGAUUUAUUGGGCGUAAAGAGCUCGUAGGCGGUUUGGCAAGUCGGGUGUGAAAUCCCCAGGCUCAACCUGGAACUGCGUCCGAUACUGGAUGGCUUGAAUUCGGGAGAGGGAUGCAGAAUUCCAGGUGUAGCGGUGAAAUGCGUAGAUAUCUGGAGGAAUACCGGUGGCGAAGGCGGCAUCCUGGACCGACAUUGACGCUGAACGGCGAAAGCUAGGGGAGCAAACGGGA
rnacentral:rRNA from 1 species